rnacentral:rRNA from 1 species
UACGGAGGGUCCAAGCGUUAUCCGGCAUCAUUGGGUUUAAAGGGUCCGUAGGCGGUUUUGUAAGUCAGUGGUGAAAGCCCAUCGCUCAACGGUGGAACGGCCAUUGAUACUGCAAGACUUGAAUUAUUGGGAAGCAACUAGAAUAUGUAGUGUAGCGGUGAAAUGCUUAGAUAUUACAUGGAAUACCAAUUGCGAAGGCAGGUUGCUACCAAUACAUUGACGCUGAUGGACGAAAGCGUGGGGAGCGAACAGG